GAUGUGUAUGUGGGUCUGUCCAUCCAUCCAACAUGAGGUGACUGUAAAAUGAGGCUUAAUUCUCUCAAAGUUCAUUCUGAGGACAGUUUCAAAUAAGUUGUAAAAAUGUUUUGAGCCAAAGCAGCAUUAAUGGAGUAAGUGUAGAACCUCACAGGGAACGUUCUAGUCUUGUUUGACUUGGUCUUCAAUUUAAAAAAAAAUGAAUGAUUCAUUGCUUUUAGAAGUAACAUUUUAAUUCAGGAUGAGUAGGAUAUACUCAAGCGAUGCACACAUACAGUCCAAUCAGAAUGGCUGUUGUAGGGGAGCAGAAUUUGCCACCCCAAAAUAUGCCUCUUUGGCAUAAGGGUUAUUUUAAGCUGGUUAUCUUUAAGAAACUGCAGACACAGGCGAAACCUGAGUAACUAAGUUACCCUUUUGUAAGAGAUUUACAGUUGUGAGGGAAAUCUCCAUUUGUAAGGGUGUCUCCCUUGCUCUACCAAGAAGAGGAGGAUGAAACUCUAGAAACUUAUCAGUGGAGGAGGUGAGGACGUAAAUUUGCAUAACAACCUCACAAUUGUUUUUACUGUGCUUUUCCUGGUAACCGUCCAUAACUGACCUACCAGCCCCAAUAUCUGCUUUUGUCUUUAGCUGAAAAUAGUAGUUAAGGUGAUAGUUUCUGCCAUUUUGGAGUUAGUUUUCCUGGGUCUCUCUCAUGUGUACAUUUUACUAAACUUUUGUUUUUCUCCUGUUAAUCUUAUGUCGAUUUAAUUAUUAGGCCAGCCAAAGAUGCUAGAAGGGGAAAAGGAAAAACUGUCCUCCCUGACCCUGUAAGCAUCAGUUUAUACACCUCCUUAACAUGCCACUUUCGGUCCUUUUCUCCCAAGCAUUUCUGGUUUAGUUUAGGAAGGCUUGUUUCAGAGUCAUUCAAGGAGAACCUCCCAUUGUUUCCACCCACUUUCCAACCUCCCAUUGUUCCACACACUUUCCACACCCGAGGCUAUGGCAUUUGCCAAGAAAAUCAUUUUAGAAACAUUGUCAUUAAUGCAUAGGAAUUGGAGUUGGACUGCCCGGGUUGAAUCCCACUCCUUCAUUGACUAGCUCUGUGACUUAACCCAAGUUAUUUAACCUCUCAGAGCCCCAAUUUUCUCAGUCAUUAAAUGGUGAUUAAAUUGGUCCCUAAGUGUUAAGUAUUACAUGAGGUAUCGACUAGGCUAUAGAGCGCUUAGCACGUAGUAUGACACAUGGUAUGUUUGCAAAUGUUAGUUACCUAAAACAAAACUUGCAGGGUUCCAAGAAUUAGAAUGGAGGGAAAGGCCCAGCCUGGGCUUUGAGUAUGGUGCCAAAACUGACAGCAGUUUUACUAGGUUUUAUUAUUCUUAAAACACCUAAAGUUCUGUGUGCUGAGUACUUGAUAAAUAUUAAUUCAUUUAAUUCUCACAGCCCUGUGAGGUGGGUACAGUUAUGCUCAUUUUUACAGAAGUGGAAACCAAAGUUAAACUGAAGCCAGUAGCUUUCCCCGUGGUCUCAACAGCAAGCAGCAAGUGGCGGAGCCGCUGAGCAGAGGAGUCUGGCUCCAGAGGAGUGUUCGGAACCACUGCAGCCUGCUGCUUGUUUUGGUUCCCGAGCUGGGAGCACAGGAGUGCUGUUUUCAUAUAUAUAAGGGCAGUAUGCUGUGGAUGCCUCUUCAGUAAGAGGUUGAGAUAGCCUGGCUCAGCUGAUGUGGUUCCAAAGCAAACUGAAGUAAACUGGCAGACGAGGCAGUCACCCUGUCAGCUCUGUGAGUGCCAGUAUAUGUCCCCCGUCUCCACCAGUCCCCAUCAGUGUUACCUGGCAUGUGGAAUUUUGCUGAGUGAGCACGAUUACUAGGGCUCAGUAAGAAGGUAAGUAAGCCGAGGGUUUUAGAAAAAUACAAAAUUUUAAUCUUUACAUAUGAUAAAAUCAUGUCAAGGUCCCUAACUUAAAAAAAAAUAAUUUUAAUUGAUUUAAAUCUGCAGAGCAGAACAAGGCUUAGCCUACACUGACCUGAUU